rnacentral:rRNA from 1 species
UCCGGAGGGUGCAAGCGUUAUCCGGAUUCACUGGGUUUAAAGGGUGCGUAGGCGGGUAAGUAAGUCCGUGGUGAAAUCUCUGAGCUUAACUCAGAAACUGCCGUGGAUACUAUUUGCCUUGAAUAUUGUGGAGGUGAGCGGAAUAUGUCAUGUAGCGGUGAAAUGCUUAGAUAUGACAUAGAACACCAAUUGCGAAGGCAGCUCACUACACAAUCAUUGACGCUGAGGCACGAAAGCGUGGGGAUCAAACAGG